rnacentral:rRNA from 1 species
UACGAAGGGGGCUAGCGUUGCUCGGAAUCACUGGGCGUAAAGGGUGCGUAGGCGGGUCUUUAAGUCAGGGGUGAAAUCCUGGAGCUCAACUCCAGAACUGCCUUUGAUACUGAAGAUCUUGAGUCCGGGAGAGGUGAGUGGAACUGCGAGUGUAGAGGUGAAAUUCGUAGAUAUCAGGAAGAACACCCGUGGCGAAGGCGGUUCUCUGGGACGGUACUGACGCUGAGACGCGAAAGCGUGGGGAGCGAACGGG